rnacentral:lncRNA from 1 species
AUCUGGACCUAACCUACUUUCACACAUGGAAACUAUAUGUACGUGCGCUCUAUAUAUAAGUGCUCGAGUCGAGCACCCAUUUUGCACAAACUGUGAGCCAGGUCGCCAAUCCAAGUAGAAUAGAAACACAGGAAGGAGCAAGGAGACGAACAAUCGAGGAUGGUGAAGAACAACUCCUCUGCGACCUCGGUUCGGCUGAUGCUGAUCCUCCUCGUUCUGCUGGUUUUCGUUGGUGGCAUCCUUGCAAACGAUGGGCCGUCCAAAUGCAGCAACCGUAAGCACGCUACCACAGUUGAUGUUUCCUUCCAUGCAUGCAUAUGAACCCUCCCAGUAAAUUCAAUCAUCUACUCCUUUCUUUCUUCCUAAUUAACUUGGUUUUUCUUAAUCAUUUGUGGCAGCUGCGGCUCAGCAAAACUGCCCGUCGAUCCCUAAUGGCGGCUCAUAAGCAUGAGAUGGAUCAUUUCUGCGCAGCAGGAUUCGGUAGGAUCUUGUGUUGGCAGGCGUUGGAAGCUUCCUAGCUAUUACUAGCGGGUAGUGCGCGGCGGCACGCCGCGCCACGUGGAUCGAUAAGCAAUUUAGUUUAUUUGUAAUAUUUGGUAAGUCAUUUGAAGACUUGAUUCGUGACAAAGUAGAUUAUACAAGGAAUGGUUACAUUUAGUUGGUACCUACAUGCAUAAGUUAUCUACAACACAUAGUGAUAGUGAGUAAUGGACGCAGAGUUGUGAAGCUCUUGUUCUUUUCUUAGACUUGAGAUGUUGAUCCUCCGGUUGAGUCUGUCUCUUUGAUGUAGUGCUAGAGAAAUGAGCCUAGUUCUUCUUCUCUCAUUCUUGGUGGUUUGUUUCCUGUGUAAACAAUGUUAAAGUUGUUGCUGGAUGCACGUUAUUUAGCUCUCGACGGAUUGGCAAAAUAUUUUAAAAUUAAAGACAAUUUUGUUAAGGGUUGUUGUUUGCCUUCACAACAAGGCUUGCUUUUUACUGUUUCUGUAUUUCUAAUUCUUCUUCCUUGGUCUUACUCCAUUCUUGCGCCUGAGCAGCUCUUGUACAAGAUGUGAGAGACGAUUGUGCCCUGGUUGUUUAUUAAUUGUUUAUUAGUGCAUUUUGUACAUAAUACGAACGUGGAUACAAAGAAUCUGGGAAGAUUAGCUCUACCGAUCGAGUUAUUCAUCUUUAUAACGUGAUAUUUAGAGCUAAGGUGGAAUUGCCUAUUGGGUUGUGUUGACAGAGGGCAGAAGUUAGAGCUUGCUGGUUUCUCUCGGUGAUAUAUAGUCAGAGGGCAGAGACAGCUACUUUGUCUUGACAGAGGGCAGAGGCUAGCUCUUCCCUACUGAUUUUCAGGGUAUUAUAAUUUUUCAUAUUUAUACUUGUUGACUAC